AUGUCAGUUUCAGAUACAAACCUUCAUAAUGGAGAAAAGCCCAUCUCCGAAACUACUGAUGCAGAACUCGCCGAAAAGCAUGGUCAUAUGAAGUUAGUAUGCUCACAGACAAGGUUCGGAAAAACCAUGAAACUGUUGUCACAAGACCACAAAAAGUACAUCAUAUCAGAAACCAGUCUUGGCGGUCUAACCCAGAUGCAUGAAGUGACUCUACGGUGCAUAAUGUUGGUUAGACUAGCCAAGAGCAUAGAUAUGGACACGAAAUCCAUUACCAUCAGACGAAAGAGGACGUGCAAGGUAUAUUUGGCAUUCCGAUAG
rnacentral:rRNA from 1 species